rnacentral:rRNA from 1 species
AGUGAACGCUGGCGGUAGGCCUAACACAUGCAAGUCGAACGGCAGCACAGUAAGAGCUUGCUCUUACGGGUGGCGAGUGGCGGACGGGUGAGUAAUACAUCGGAAUCUACUUUUUCGUGGGGGAUAACGUAGGGAAACUUACGCUAAUACCGCAUACGACCUACGGGUGAAAGCAGGGGAUCUUCGGACCUUGCGCGAUUGAAUGAGCCGAUGUCGGAUUAGCUAGUUGGCGGGGUAAAGGCCCACCAAGGCGACGAUCCGUAGCUGGUCUGGGAGGAUGAUCAGCCACACUGGAACUGAGACACGGUCCAGACUCCUACGGGAGGGCGAAGUAGGGAAGAUUCAGCGAUGGGCGCAAGCCUGAUCCAGCCAUGCCGCGUGGGUGAAGAAGGCCUUCGGGUUGUAAAGCACUUUUGUUUGGGAAGAAAAGCAGCAGGUUAAUACCCCGCUGUUCUGACGGUACCCGAAGAAUAAGCACCGGCUAACUUCGUG